GCUGGCGGCGUGCUUAACACAUGCAAGUCGCACGAGUAACGUUUCAGCUUGCUGAAACUAGUAAAGUGGCGCACGGGUGAGUAACGCGUGGGUAAUCUACCUCCGAAUUGGGGAUAACAUUGCGAAAGCGAUGCUAAUACCGGAUGACAUCUCAAUAACUUCGGUCUUUGAGAUCAAAGAUGGCCUCUCCAUGGAAGCUAUUGUUUGGAGAUGAGCCCGCGUACCAUUAGCUUGUUGGUAGGGUAAUGGCCUACCAAGGCGACGAUGGUUAGCUGGUCUGAGAGGAUGAUCAGCCACACUGGAACUGACACACGGUCCAGACUCCUACGGGAGGCAGCAGUGAGGAAUUUUGCGCAAUGGGGGAAACCCUGACGCAGCAACGCCGCGUGAGUGAUGAAGGCUUUCGGGUCGUAAAGCUCUGUCAAGUGAGAAGAACCUGCCCUUUGCUAAUAUCAUUGGGCACUGACGGUAUCACUGAAGGAAGCACCGGCUAACUCCGUGCCAGCAGCCGCGGUAAUACGGAGGGUGCAAGCGUUAUUCGGAAUCACUGGGCGUAAAGAGCGCGUA
rnacentral:rRNA from 1 species